GGAGGCAGGGUGUAUAGCUCAGUGGUCAGAGCAUCUCCUUUGAAGAUCCCAGGUUCAAUCCCUGGCAUCUCCA